GAUGAACGCUGACAGAAUGCUUAACACAUGCCAGUCUUUGGCGAAGCUGUGCUUGCACAGCCUAGCCAAGGCGGACGGGUGAGUAGCGCGUAAGGAACUUGCCCUGCAGUCAGGGAUAACAGACGGAAACGACUGAUAAGACCUGGUAAAGUCAGGCGGACUCAUGUCCAGCCUGAUGAAAAGUGAUGCUGCAGGAGAGCCUUGCGUCCUAUUAGCUUGUUGGUGGGGUAACGGCCCACCAAGGCGAUGAUAGGUAGCCGGCCUGAGAGGGUGGACGGCCACAAGGGGACUGAGAUACGGCCCUUACUCCUACGGGAGGCAGCAGUGGGGAAUAUUGGACAAUGGGGGCAACCCUGAUCCAGCAAUUCUGUGUGCACGAUGAAGGUUUUCGGAUUGUAAAGUGCUUUCAGCAGGGAAGAAAAAAAUGACGGUACCUGCAGAAGAAGCGACGGCUAAAUACGUG
rnacentral:rRNA from 1 species